rnacentral:rRNA from 1 species
GGCCUGGCCGGGCGGUCCGCUUAACAGCGUGUACUGUCUGGCUGGGUCUUACCUCUUGGUGAGCUGGCGUGCCCUUUACUGGUGUGCGUCGGGGAACCAGGACUUUUACCUUGAGAAAAUUAGAGUGUUCAAAGCAGGCAAAGCCUGAAUACAUUAGCAUGGAAUAAUGGAAUAGGACUGUGGUCCCGUUUUGUUGGUUUUCAGGACCGCGGUA